UAACCUGCCCAAGAGAUCGGGAUAACACCUGGAAACAGAUGCUAAUACCGGAUAACAACAGAUGAUGCCUAUCAACUGUUUAAAAGAUGGUUCUGCUAUCACUCUUGGAUGGACCUGCGGUGCAUUAGCUAGUUGGUAGGGUAACGGCCUACCUAGGCGAUGAUGCAUAGCCGAGUUGAGAGACUGAUCGGCCACAUUGGGACUGAGACACGGCCCAAACUCCUACGGGAGGCAGCAGCA
rnacentral:rRNA from 1 species